CAGAGGUUGGGAUUAAUGCCUGGAAAGAGAGCUGCAGAGGAAUAGGCAGAAGGGACGAUACCUGCCUGGAAGGAGAGAGCUGCAGCCUGGUUGGGUGGAAAAGCUACGACUACUAGGUCUAAAGUGAUCUAUUGUCCCUUGUGGCAGCGAGGAAGCAUACUUGAUGAAGGUACUCAUUCUGAGUAGGGGAGCUCUGUCACAUCCGGAGGCAGCGUAGGGUGCUCUACCUCAUAGACCGACAUCUUUUUUUUUAAUAAACAUAGUAUUCCUUAAACCUAAACAAUGAUUAUAAAAAAGAAAAUUAUACAGAAAAGAAAAUGAAACAAUCAGGGUAAGUCCAAAAGUCCCCUUACUGAACAGGCAAAACCUGCUUGGUACAGGGGGCUAUUCGGACUGCAAAAUCUGGAUAUUGUUCACACUAUUUAACAAUGUCCAGAUUUUGCAAAUUAGGCUCCAAACAAUUCAUUGCAUUCCGGACCAGAUUCAAAGCAUUUGUAUCCGGAUUUGAAACAUUAGGUUUGGAUUUCACCUGUUUGGUGGUGUUUGGUCCUGGUAAAAACCAAACCAAAAUUCUUGAAAUCUGGGCCCGAAUGUGAAAAAAAUCGGAACUAUUUGCCAACUGGCAGCGCUAGCAGCGAGCGAGCAUAUAGUUAGAAGACCCUCACGCUGCAGUAAAUAAGCCACCACAUUAAAAAAGUGAUAAAUAAAUAAGGCACAAGUGACAAAGAGACUGUUUUUAUUACUAUAAGGGUGGCUUUAAUCAUGUUUAUCUACUAAAUAUUUAAAACUAGUGACUAAAAUGGUAUACUGCAAAAAAUAACAGGGGGGCAUAGACCUUCCCAUGCACCAACAUUGGGUGGGGAAUUUAAAAAAAAAAGGGGGGAGAGGGUUACUUACGAAACGAGAAGGUCGCCUAAUGUCCCUGCCACAGGGGGUACUGUUUUACACGUGAGACAUCGCUGAAUACAAAUAAAAGCAAACAGUAUUAUGACAUUCACAGUUAAAAUGUCAUUCAGAACUAAAACAAAAUAAAUUUCUUAAUUCCUCACAUUUUUUUCUUAUUUUAUUCAUAUUAAAUUAUGUUUCAUAGCUAAAUAUUUGAUGUUAAAUGAAAGCCCUUUUUACCCUGAAUAAAAUGAUAUAUAAUAAGUGUGGGUGCACUUAAUAUGAAAUAGGUGAAUUACGGUUGAACAGACAUGUAGUCAAAUUCCAAGUUUUGUUUACGUUUUAUUUUGAUCAAAACGUGUAUAUUUUACUCAGUUUUAAACGGGUUAAGGAAGACCCCCAGAAUCAGCAGCAAUUUCUAUAAAGAACAUUUUUCAAGCCCAAUAUAAAAGUUAUAUAAACUGACAUUUAUUACAAUUCAACAUACAUGUUCAUUUCAUGUAAAAGCAUUAAAGGACAUUUUAAGACUACAAAUAUAGGUAUUUGAGUCUAUAGAAUCCCCCACGGCUAGACAAGGUUUUGUAACUCAUCAGCACGUAGAAAUGGAUGACAAUGUUUUAUUUAUCAGAAAAUGAUGUAAUCUUUUCCACUUUUAUCCCUUUGAUUUUAGACAUCUGAACUCAGAGCCACACAAGGAGGGCCUAAAUUACAUGGACACCAAGGGAGAAUUGAAGAUCAGUUUGCUCUUUAACUCAAGAAAUAGGGACGAGAAGAGAAAAAAGUCGCAGUGGAAAUCAAAACUUCAUUCUACUACAUCCUUCUAGACACAACAAUUGUGG